rnacentral:rRNA from 1 species
UACGUAGGGUGCAAGCGUUAAUCGGAAUUACUGGGCGUAAAGCGUGCGCAGGCGGUUUUGUAAGUCUGACGUGAAAUCCCCGGGCUCAACCUGGGAAUUGCGUUGGAGACUGCAAGGCUUGAAUCUGGCAGAGGGGGGUAGAAUUCCAUGUGUAGCGGUGAAAUGCGUAGAGAUGUGGAGGAACACCAGUGGCGAAGGCAGCCCCCUGGGUCAAGAUUGACGCUCAUGCACGAAAGCGUGGGGAGCAAACAGG